AGUGAACGCUGGCGGUAGGCCUAACACAUGCAAGUCGAACGGCAGCACAGUAAGAGCUUGCUCUUACGGGUGGCGAGUGGCGGACGGGUGAGGAAUACAUCGGAAUCUACUUUUUCGUGGGGGAUAACGUAGGGAAACUUACGCUAAUACCGCAUACGACCUACGGGUGAAAGCAGGGGAUCUUCGGACCUUGCGCGAUUGAAUGAGCCGAUGUCGGAUUAGCUAGUUGGCGGGGUAAAGGCCCACCAAGGCGACGAUCCGUAGCUGGUCUGAGAGGAUGAUCAGCCACACUGGAACUGAGACACGGUCCAGACUCCUACGGGAGGCAGCAGUGGGGAAUAUUGGACAAUGGGCGCAAGCCUGAUCCAGCCAUACCGCGUGGGUGUAGAAGGCCUUCGGGUUGUAAAGCCCUUUUGUUGGGAAAGAAAAGCAGCAGGUUAAUACCCCGCUGUUCUGACGGUACCCAAAGAAUAAGCACUGGCUAACUUCGUG
rnacentral:rRNA from 1 species